rnacentral:rRNA from 1 species
AGUAGAUGACGGUACCUGGAGAAGAAGCACCGGCUAACUACGUGCCAGCAGCCGCGGUAAUACGUAGGGUGCGAGCGUUAAUCGGAAUUACUGGGCGUAAAGCGUGCGCAGGCGGUUUGGUAAGUCAGAUGUGAAAUCCCCGGGCUCAACCUGGGAACUGCAUUUGAGACUGCCAAGC